UGGGGGAUAUUGCACAAUGGGCGAAAGCCUGAUGCAGCGACGCCGCGUGGGGGAUGAAGGCCUUCGGGUUGUAAACUUCUUUUGCCCUGAACAAGGCGCACCAUGGGGUGUGUUGAGUGUAGGGGUUGAUUAGCGCCGGCUAACUACGUGCCAGCAGCCGCGGUAAUACGUAGGGCGCGAGCGUUGUCCGGAAUUAUUGGGGGUAAAGGGCGUGUAGGUGGCUGGUUGCGUCUGUCGUGAAAGCUCAUGGCUUAACUGUGGGUUUGCGGUGGGUACGGGCUGGCGUGGGUGCAGUAGGGGAGGCUGGAAUUCCUGGUGUAGCGGUGGAAAGCGCAGAUGUCAGGAGGAAGACCGGUGGCGAAGGCGGGUCUCUGGGCUGUUACUGACACUGAGGAGCGAAAGCAUGGGGAGCGAACAGG
rnacentral:rRNA from 1 species